AAUAGAUACCCAGGUAGUCCACGCCGUAAACGAUGAGUGCUAAGUGUUAGAGGGUUUCCGCCCUUUAGUGCUGCAGCAAACGCAUUAAGCACUCCGCCUGGGGAGUACGGUCGCAAGACUGAAACUCAAAGGAAUUGACGGGGGCCCGCACAAGCGGUGGAGCAUGUGGUUUAAUUCGAAGCAACGCGAAGAACCUUACCAGGUCUUGACAUCCCGUGACAACUCUAGAGAUAGGGCUUUCCCCUUCGGGGGACACGGUGACAGGUGGUGCAUGGUUGUCGUCAGCUCGUGUCGUGAGAUGUUGGGUUAAGUCCCGCAACGAGCGCAACCCUUGAUCUUAGUUGCCAGCAUUCAGUUGGGCACUCUAAGGUGACUGCCGGUGACAAACCGGAGGAAGGUGGGGAUGACGUCAAAUCAUCAUGCCCCUUAUGACCUGGGCUACACACGUGCUACAAUGGAUGGUACAAAGGGCAGCGAAACCGCGAGGUUAAGCCAAUCCCAUAAAACCAUUCUCAGUUCGGAUUGCAGGCUGCAAC
rnacentral:rRNA from 1 species